rnacentral:rRNA from 1 species
UAGAUAGUAGGCGGGGUAACGGCCCACCUAGUCUUCGAUGGAUAGGGGUUCUGAGAGGAAGGUCCCCCACAUUGGAACUGAGACACGGUCCAAACUCCUACGGGAGGCAGCAGUGAGGAAUAUUGGUCAAUGGGCGAGAGCCUGAACCAGCCAAGUAGCGUGAAGGAUGACUGCCCUAUGGGUUGUAAACUUCUUUUAUAAAGGAAUAAAGUCGGGUAUGCAUACCCGUUUGCAUGUACUUUAUGAAUAAGGAUCGGCUAACUCCGUGCCAGCAGCCGCGGUAAUACGGAGGAUCCGAGCGUUAUCCGGAUUUAUUGGGUUUAAAGGGAGCGUAGAUGGAUGUUUAAGUCAGUUGUGAAAGUUUGCGGCUCAACCGUAAAAUUGCAGUUGAUACUGGAUAUCUUGAGUGCAGUUGAGGCAGGCGGAAUUCGUGGUGUAGCGGUGAAAUGCUUAGAUAUCACGAAGAACUCCGAUUGCGAAGGCAGCCUGCUAAGCUGCAACUGACAUUGAGGCU